UACGGAGGGGGCAAGCGUUGUUCGGAAUUACUGGGCGUAAAGGGCGCGCAGGCGGCUGCUCAAGUCAGGCGUGAAAGGCCUGGGCUCAACCCGGGAAUUGCGCUUGAGACUGGGCUGGCUUGAGUGCGGGAGAGGAUGGUGGAAUUCCCAGUGUAGAGGUGAAAUGCGCAGAUAUCAGGAGGAACACCGGUGGCGAAGGCGGUUCUCUGGGCCUGUACUGACGCUGAGGAGCGAAAGCGUGGGGAGCGAACAGG
rnacentral:rRNA from 1 species